CGGGCUGCGGGCUGCGGGCUGCGGGCUGCGGGCUGAGGGCUGCGGGCUGAGGGCUGCGGGCUGCGGGCUGCGAGCGCCGCGUCCCGCCUGUCCCACCGCGGCCGCGGCACUGGCGGGGAUGGAGCUGCCGACAGGUCACGGAAUCACAGAGCUGGUCGGGUUGGAAGGGACCACAGUGGGACAUCUGGUCCAACCUCGGAAUGAGAUACUCGCUUCGAGGAACACCUAAAUCUUCCAAAGGAGAGGCAUUUAUGGCUUCUUAUCAGAAGAAACUAAUUCCUUCAGGCCUUGCUCAGACUCGAAGACGCCAUGGGGAUUAGAGGAAAUAGUUGACAUACAACAGACAGAGUUCUUGUUUAAAAUAGAAUGUAUGCAUAACCAUGAAGGAUAUAUGAAUAUGCAACAGGCUAUUGUUUUUAAGGUUAUUCCUUUUUUCACAAGUCAUGUUUUUUGUGACUUAGUGUCUGAGAGCAUCCGGACGUCCGUAAUUCUUUGCUUUUUAUUGUCUUGUAAUUGUCCUAACUCUAAACUUUAUUACUCUAAUUGUAUUACUAUUUUUAUGACCAUUUUAUUAUUAUUAUUAAACUUUUAAAAUUUUAAAAACCAAGUGAUUGGCGUUUUUCACACUCAGAGUCAUCCCUGAGCACGUGGCACAGGGUUGUGUCCAGGCGGUUCUUGAAUAUCUUGAAUAUCCCCAGGGAUAUUCAGGAUAUUCAGUCAGGGAAACUCCACACGCUCUCUGGUCAACCUGUUCCAGUGCUCGGUCACCUGCACAGUAAAGGUCUUCCUCAUGUUCAGGUAGAAUUUCCUGUACAUCAGUUUCUGGCUGUUGCUUCUCAUCCUAUUGUUUGGCACCUCUAAGAAGAGCCUGACUUCAUCCUCUUCACACCUUCGCUUCAGAUACUUUUGGGCAUUUCCCACAAUAUUUACAGGGCAACAAGAGUCCAGUGCACAAUGCAUAAAAUGGAUGAUUUUUCUUGCAAGACCCAGAUGUGCAACUCCUCUCUGCAGGGUAUUCUGGAUGCUAGAAGCUUUUAUGAGUUCACAAGAAGACAGAUAAUGGAAAUGCAGAGACUUGUGAAAUACACUAUGGUGCUCAUGAAGAUAUAGAAGCUAAAUGUUGACAGCAUAAUUCAUUAACAAGCUGGAAAGUGAUCAAAAACUAGAUGUAUUGCUGGCAGCACAUUGUCUUCAGAUUUGCAUUUAAACCAUUCUUAAAGUCUACCUGACCUUAACUAUAAUUCUUCAUCAAAAGCUAUUGUCUGUGCUUAAGCUUACACCGUGGGAUGAUGUUCAGUGCUAGCUGAAGUUUUUUAUCCAUAGUAGUAUCCCUAUGGGCAAAUACGUGCUGUAUUUCUCUUGUUCACUGAUGUGUAUUUCUAAAAGUUACAUUACAUGCCUUUGUCUUCCAUUCUGCCUUAAAAGAGCUGUGUGGGUGUAGUAGGGCAAGUAAAAGUACGAAACCAUCACAACAUGUGUGCUGGUGGUGAUAAGUGAGAGAAAGACUCUAAAUGGAGCUUGAUGUGAUGUGUGUGCCAGCACCUUUAAUGUUGUACUGUCACAUAAAAAAAAAAAAAAAAAAAAAAAAAAGGGGAAUUUCUAAAGCAAUUUGAAAUUGACAGAGCUUUUUGCUGAAUUAGACUGGUAAUACUUUUUCAUUGGAGUGAACUAUUCUGUAAUGCACAAGGUAAAAAGCAUAUGGACUUUGUCCAUAAGGAUGUGCUGGAAAUCAAUGUUGAAGGCAGUUGACAAAAUGCAAACACGAACCUGUGCAUUCUAACACUGGUCAGAAGUAUGGAAAUGCAUCUUGUGAGGCAACUGAUGUUACUAAAAUCCCCCAAAAUGUGGGACCACUUGUCUCCUUUUUGGCACUUGAUUCUUGAAUGUUUGCAGUGUGUCAUUUUGCCACGGGGUGUCUCUAAAAACCUACUGUGAGAUGUUGCAGUCUGUGUUUUUCUAGUCAAAAACUGUUUUCAUAGUUAGAACCAUAAUUUGCUAAAAAAUUUAGAGUGUGCAGAAUACUAGGUGGACAGAUAAAAAUGUCAUGGGUCUGUUUCUGAUAAGCUGAAGGAUGAACUACACAUACAACAAUAAAUGCCUUCCUAUUGUUGAAGACAAAUCCAGCAAGAUAAUUAGAAAUAGUCUGACAACAAGCAAAAAGUAUGAAUUUGUAAAUUAUUUAUCUUUUCUGUACUGGACAUUUAAAAUUUUUUAUGUCCCAACUACUAUUGUAUAAAUCACAUAGCUGUAAAAUACACCAAAUAUUAUUUUCACUUUUGAAAACAAUCCUGUAUAUGAAUCUGAUUUCUUUUUUGAUCAACAGAGCAUUGUUUGAUAUUCAAAAAGCAAUGCAACUGCUCUGCAAAACAUUAACCAGCAUUAAGAUAUAAAAAAGAAUUCACCAUAUGUCCCUUAGAGGAUACCUUAGACAUACUAGAACAAAACCAAUUAAAAUGUAGAACUAUUAAAAAUGUAGAACCAUACUAGAACAAAACCAAUUAAAUCAUUUCACUCCUAAAAUGAAUUUUCGUUAAUAAUUUUGUUAAAGUUGUGAAAACAUGAGAUGUCCUUUUCACAUUUUUGUUUUGGAGAUAAACAUGAUAAUACAGAGUCUCUGCUUCCACCAUGCCAAAAUCUGAAAGUAAGAUUUACAAGAAAUCCAGGAUGGGGAAAGGGAAAAGAAAAAGACUUGUUUCUCUAGCUCUGUUUGUGGAAAUUAAAAUCUUCCAAUUUAUUUUGUGGCUUUAGGUGGGGAUUGUAUUUCAGAGGUAUUAUUCACUCCUAAUGUCUGAAAAGGCAAGCUGUAUCCGUGAGUGCUUAAUCAUGGCUGCUUGCCAAAAACCCUGUUAGUCACCCUGCACUGUCUCCAGAAUAUAAAACCUGUGCUAGUGGCUAGCAGGGAAGAGAGGACAUUUUGUCUGGUUUCUCUGACUCUGGGACUACCUAAAGCAGCCUCUUACAAAGGCUGUUUGUAUCCUUGCCAUGAGCAGGCAAUAGGAGUCACGGGGCUCACAUGGCCUUCUUAACCUUUUUGCAUCACUUUCUUCAAAGGCACCAGUCUGCUUGGCUCUGUCUGUGCUAUUCCAAGAAGAAGAUAUGUGCAGCCAGAGGUACUGUAAAUAAGAACUCCUAUCUUGGGAUAUAAGGACACAUAAGAAGCAAUUUCUCUGAAAGUACUUUGUUGGUGGAAUGAAGAAAAACUUAAUUAGCCUUGUAAUACUCUGAUGUUUUAACUUCAUGAUGUCUGUAAACCAGUAAUAUGUUAGUCCUGGCAUUAAAAAUCAGGAGUGAGUUCAGACUGGAGUUUAUCAUAUGAGUGAAGCUUAUGUUUGACACUGUCAAGGAACAAGUAUAGUGCAAAGAAUAAUAUUUAUUCUGGAUGAUACAGCUUGCACAUAGGCUUACAAAUAGAUACAUAAAUUAGAUGGGUUUGGAUAGAAGAUAAGGUUUAAUUAAAGGAAGCUAUUUUCACAAGAUUAAGUCAGUCUUAUCUAACACUUUCUUUGUUCUUGUCAGGCCUGAGAGACUGUGCAGCAAUUGCUGGAGUUUUCAUCUGGGAAAGUGUCUCCUUGGAUAUUAGUUUCUGGAAGGGAUGAACCUAAUUAGAGUAGAGGUGUUCAGCUGAGCUCCUGGAGUUCACUGUCAGUCCCGCCUGAUCAGCUGUGGCAGUUUCAGAGUACCCAUCUCUCUCCUGGGGCUGGACUGACAAGACUUGGCUGCUUGGCUUUGUCUCUGAAAUCCUGUGACCUGUAAGCAUUGCUCAUGCUGCCUUUCCCUGUCUUUUGCUGAGGCUUUUGCAUUAACCACAGGCAAGGCCUAUGUCCUAUGUGUGGGCCAGGGAGGUUUGGGUUAAAGGUGCUUUAAAGGAAUUCUUUAAGAUAAUUUCACUCAAAACAACAAUGGAUGGUGGUAUUGCAUGUGUCUGAGUGUGCCAAUUUAUGAUCCAUCCUCUUGUUUUCAUCCCCAAAUAACUACGAAGAAUUGAACUAUUAUUUGAGGAAGUAAUCUUUUUAUCUGUCAAGGUGUGGAGAGUGUUGUGUCACUUGAGGAGAAGCUUGGCUUAACUCACUCCCCCAACAGAAAAGCUCUUCAAGAAGAUGUAGCAGCAAGUGGUCACUCAGUAUUCAUUUGUACUUAAAAUCAGAAAUAAAUAUGAGCACCUUUCCUU